rnacentral:RNase_P_RNA from 1 species
GGCAGCGGGAGGCCGGCUCCCGUGCCGAGAGGCAUGAGGAAAGUCCCCCCACCUGCUGGACGGGUGACCGGACGCAAGUCCGGGGCGGGAGACCGUCGGCUAUGGAACAGCAACGACACGUCGUCACAGGACCGAUGAGGUGCGCGAAUCCCGAGCGACGGGGCGUGUGCGGCACUCCGUGCCGCGAUUCGAGGCGGUGACACCGCCUCGACCCGGAAGCGAGGGAGAGAUAACCCACCGAGGGCCACCGUGGGGCACCGUCCGGUGUCCGACGCCUGUGACGGACCGAUGGAACGGCGAAUCCUCACCGGUGCAAGGCCGCGUCGACAGGUAGUCCGGUACCGCGCGCGAGCGCUGGACGCGGCCGCUGAGCCGAAUGCCGGCCCGAACAGAAGGGGGCUUACUCCCCGCAGCC